rnacentral:rRNA from 1 species
GCGCUCCCCCAUGGCUGAUGCUUCGGCUGCCGAGCAGAAGACGGACGUAGCAAACUGCGAAAAGUAUCAUGUCUUGCGAAAAGCUGUGAAUGUAACAAAUUUCUCAACGCAUAUCACGUAUUUGUCUCUAUGGUAAAAGUGUGAUCCGCUAUGGCAGCAA